rnacentral:rRNA from 1 species
CACGUAGGGGGCGAGCGUUGUCCGGAUUUAUUGGGCGUAAAGAGCUCGUAGGCGGCUCAGUAAGUCAGGUGUGAAAACUCCAGGCUCAACCUGGAGACGCCACCUGAUACUGCUGUGGCUAGAGUCCGGUAGGGGAGCAUGGAAUUCCUGGUGUAGCGGUGAAAUGCGCAGAUAUCAGGAGGAACACCAGUGGCGAAGGCGGUGCUCUGGGCCGGAACUGACGCUGGAGGAGCGAAAGCCGUGGGGAGCAAACAGG